ACCACCGGAUCUUAAUUUCCUCCGGCGAUCUACUCCAACCGGUGAUCAAUCGCCUUUGUUCCCACUGGUCAAUCUCCUCCCCUUUUCUCCACCAAGGUCAUUCGUUCUCCACAUGUAGAAGAUGGAGAUUCUUAUUUGCCCAUGAUACAACUGGAAUUGGAGGCUAAGUUCUGGUACCUCUGCAUGUUCUCCGGCGAAGCCAUGUAUCACCUCCGGCGAAGCCAUGUACCACCUCCGGCGAGCUUCUCUUCCAUCUCCGACGAACGUCUCCUCCACCUCCGGCGAACGUCUUUGAUCCCCACGGCCACCAAACGAAUUUGCAAAUCAAAGACAUCAUCGAUUCAUCUCUUAGCUUCCCCUAUUGUUUGGUAAGCCAUGAAUCACCACAACUUUCACCAUAAAUUAGUUAUGGAUGCGUUUUACUCUGGUGGCCUUCUCCAUCAUCUUCUCCGGAGUUCUCCUUUGAGAUCAACUUAGAGACAUGUUCUUAGUCUCUUCCAAUUAAACGUAGCUCGUGCGUCUUCCCAGGGUACCCCCUAAUCUAUUUCUCUUUCAUGUAGCAACAAUUAGAGAUUAGAUUUUCUAAAUUUCCAGAAAAAUAAAAACUCAAAGUUUCAAUUUUGAUGCCAAUUCAGGGUAAGAGCUCCAUCUCGUCUCGGGUAACUUUGGCCAUCACUUCCUCUGAAAAAAAAUUCCAGGUACAUCUAAUCUCUCUCGUCUCUCCUUGACACUUAGAAAUUAGGAUCUUCUGAAAUUUCCAGAGAUUUUUGAAGCCCUCUUAAAUUUCAACCUGAAACUGUUUCAGGUUUCUCCAACUAGCUUCUCCUCCUUUUAAGGAAUGGUUCUCCAUGAACAGAAACUUCAUCUGAAAAAAUGUAUAUCUUUCAACAUAUUUUCAGAAAACCUUAAGAGAUAUAUCCCUGAAUAACUUCCUCCUUGAGAGAUUCUUCAAUCUUACAAUAUUAUGAUUCUCUCUGAAAAUUUUUUUCGGUUUCUCCACCUGGAACUUGUAACUCCUACACAGUUCCAUUACUCAACAGGUAACACCAACUCCAAUUUUU
rnacentral:lncRNA from 1 species